CAGGGAAGCUGAGGGGGACUGGUGCUAUCAGCCAGACUGACUGAGCCAAAGGAACCCAGGCCGGAGAAGAAAACCAAUAGCAGUGGCUGCCUCAGUGGAAGAAAACGGUGUAGUUAUGGAGCAGGAGUGAGAGGGAGACUAACUCUGCGCCAUUUGCAUCUUUUGAACUUGGAAUCACAUAAGUAAUGGAUGAAAUGAAGGAAUUGAUGAAUGCAGUGGUAGAACAUCCCAGAUGAAGAGGCGGGCUGUGGCCCCAGCAUCUUAUAGGUGAGAACCAAUAAGAACUAUGUUCCCAGAAGCUCUCACCUGACACGCACACUCAGAGUAAAGAGGUCUACAGUCCUUCCCGGUGGAGGAAAGAGCCUGGAAAGGUGAAGAAGAGGUGUCUGAAGCUUGGAGAUGAAGGAGCGAGCACAGGAGUCCUCAAACACACCUCGAGGACCUCACAACUGGGCCAGUGUGGUAAUAAGAUAAUCCCAUAAAAUAACGUUGUACCCAGAAAAUAAGACCUUGGGCUGACAUGUCACUGGGGAUGUUAAACUGAUGGCUUGUUUUAUUCCCCUUUCUCUUGAGAGCCUUCUAAAAUGAUUGUUAAGAAAUAAAAAGGAUAUGAACCCACAACAAUAAAAAUAAUGGGUGAGGCAUCAUCAGUAGGGGAGAUACUCAACAAAUGUCAGGACAACAGAAAGCAGAUGGAAGGGUGGUAACUAAUGCAGUAGGACAGAGAAAGCCUUGGCACAGAGCAUGCAGAGAAGAUACAGCCACGGAAAGAGGCAGCACCAGCCUCUUGGCAGCCCCAGCAAAACACAGAGCUUAAAUCAGCAGAUUAAAUGAAAAUCUGUACACUGGACAGUGCCUCCCCACACCUGGGCACAGACCACCAAGAGGUCAGGGUCUACUCUCCAAGUGGGAGUGGGCAGUUUCUGGAGAAAUCUAAUGUCCCCAGACG